AUGGAGGAGGUGCGCGUGUCGGUGCUGACCCCGCUGAAGCUGGUCGGGCUGGUGUGCAUCUUCCUGGCGCUGUGUCUGGACCUGGGCGCCGUGCUGAGCCCGGCCUGGGUCACGGCCGACCACCAGUACUACCUGUCCCUGUGGGAGUCCUGCCGGAAGCCCGCCAGCCUGGACAUCUGGCACUGCGAGUCCACGCUCAGCAGCGGAGCCCAUGGAACAUCUUCCCCUCCACCCAUGGAUAUCCUGAGGUACCUGUGGAUUGGACAGGGGGUUGGCAGAGACUCUUGGACACCCAUCUUCAACCUGCCUGAGGAUUGGCCCUAUUCCUCUAGCUCCCUGCUAAUGCACCUGGGAAGCAGUAAUAUGAUGACCCCAGUCCUUGGGUUCCUGCUACCUACAUUGGAGACCUGGAUGAAGAGGUUCCUUGCUCCUGGCUUCUGCCUGGCCCAUCCCCAGUUGUCGUGGCAUUUGGGAAGUGAACUACCAGAUAGAAGGCUCACAUCACUCAACUCUAGAGAGGACCCUCUCGACUAUGUGACAUCAUGGCACAUUGCAAUGGCCACUGAGUGUGUGGGAAGAAGUAAUCACGUCUCAAUAUGGAAAACCAGAGAGAUGUGGAUCCAGAUACCAAGCCAGUAUCUGAAGAUUCCAACAGCAAAUCCAUCCGUGAAUCCAGCUGGAAAAUCUACUAAGUAUCACUUUACUGGCUGACUGAUGAAGAACUUCGCCUUCUGCGCCAGCCUGUAAACACUAGAAAACAUCCCCACCUUUUCAAAUGCACAGACACCAAUGCAUGGCCAGAAGGAUCAUGAAUAAUCAGAGAAAUAUGUCACCACCAUAGAAACAAAAUAAAUCUCCAACCAACUCUAAAGAACUGGAGGAUUAUGAACUGCUUGACAAGAAUUCAAAAUAAUCAUCUUAAGCUCAGUGAGCAAUGAGAGAAUACAUAAAAAAGAACCAAACAGGAAAUCUGGAACUAAAGAAUGUAAUAGCUAUAUUGCAAAAUUCCAUACAGGGAUUCAAUACUGGACUUGAUCAAGCAGGAGAAGAAUCAAUGAGCUCAAAGAGAGUAAGCUCUCAUUUGAGAUUGCCCAAAGUAUCAAAGCAAAAAUAGAAUGAGAGAAGUGCAGAAAGUUUAUGGGAAAUAUGGAACACCAUCAAGUGAAUCAACACAUGCAACAUGGAACUUUCAGAAGGAGCAGAGAACAAGAAAAGGCAGAGACUUUAUUUAAAGAAAUGACGACAGAAAACUUUCCAAAUUUGUAGACAGAAAUGAGCAUGCAGAUCCAUUAAGUUCAAAUAAUCCCAAAGAGAUUAAGUAUAAAAUAACUUAAUUAUGACACAUUAUAGGAUAUGUGAACUGAUUCAAGUCCUGGCUGCUCCACUUCUGAUCCAGGUCCCAACUAAGGCCUGGGAAAAGCAGAAGAUGGCCCAAGUGCUUGGGCCCCUGCCACCCACAUGGGAGACCCAGAUGAAGCUCUUGGCUGCUAUUGUGGUCAUCUAGGGAGUGAAGCAGCAGAUGGAAGAUCUCUCUCUCUCUCUCUCUUUCUGAUUUUCAAAAUAUUUUUUAAAAAUAAACAUCUAAAGAAGAAUUAAUGCCAAUAUUCAAACUCUGCUUAAAAACAUUGAAGAGAAAGGAAUACUUCCAAGCUUGUUUUCUGAGGCAAACGUUAUCCCACAGGGAAAAAAAUUACAGGUCAGUAUCUCAUGAAUAUAGAAAGAUACAGCAAUUCUCAAUAAACUGAAAAUUCUAGGUUUGGACACUGUUAUUCAACUCCACAGCACACUAGAAUCACCUGGGAGACUUAAAAAAAUAAUGAUGACUAAUCUCAAACUCCAGAGAUUUUGAUUUAUUACAUAUAAGGUUAGCUUAGGAAUAGGCACUUUAAAUAAGUUAAUGGUAUGUUUGUAUAGAGUUAUCUUGGGAAUAGGCAUUUAAAUAAGUUAUUAGUAUAGUUAUAACAUUACAUGGUAUAGAUCAGUGAAAAAAUAUGUCAAGGCUACAUGGCCUACAUGUAAAAAUGUUAUACUCCCAAAAAGACAAAGUACAAAAAAUUCCCACAUUAUAACACAACAAUAACAUAUCUAUAAAGAUUAAACAUAACCAAAACAACUCUCCACACAUGGAUGGUAAAAAUGUGAAAAUAUGAACAAAAAACAUAACCUACAUACACCCAAAGGUUUUAGUUAUCUCUUGAGAAGAGGGGUUUGGAUUAUGUCAUUUAGGAGGCAUACAAAAAAAGAUUCGUCCCACAAAUAUUAAUUUCUUUAAAAAAUAAAGUGAACUGGUGCAAGGGUGCAAGUAUGGCAAAAUGUUAACAUUGAAUACAGCUGGGGGAGAGAUGGAUGAUCUUUAUAUUAUUCUCUACAUUGUUUUAUAUAUUUGAAACAGUCCAUAUAAAGAAAAGAGAAGCUAGCUUUCCUUUGCUCAGGAGGUAUGUCAGUUAGGGACCCUGCUGUGGGGAUACUGAGAAUGUGUGUUGGGAGUUCAAGAUACUUGACCUGGGGCCCUCCCUUUGUUUCAAGGAGAGUCUGGGAGAUGAGGGCCCUCAGAACAGAUUUGUGAAACACUGCUUUAAUGGUUUGUGGAAAUUAUUGUUGGACAUUUGAAGUCAUUAUUAGUCACAUGACCCAAGUGAAGACGAAGUCUUCAGCUUACAAUGUGCGGACUGUCACAGUCCUCCUUCAGCUCCCACCCUUGCUCGAUAGUUGAGGUCAGGCAAUUUAGAUCAGCAGGUAGUUCCUGUCAGGAGGUAUGUUUAGGGUGCUCAAUACUGUGCCAUCUUUCAGAGAUUCACUAAAUGAUUCAGCCGAAAAGACUCUUGGGAGUCAGCAUGCAGUUGUACUCAGAGCCAAGAUUUAUUACAGCCAUGUAGUGAGGGCACAUAGCCAAAUCAUAAGAUAAAAACACACAAAGGAGGAAUCCUUGUGCAGACCUCCUCAUGUUCUCUCCUUUCCAUGAUGGGUCACAUAGAGCAUCCUUUUCCCCCAGCAACAACAAUGCAGCAACAUGUUUGCAAUGUUUCUGCCCCAGGAAAGCCAUUUGAUAUGUAUGUAGUUGAAGAGUUGGUAGAAUAGGGACCCUCUGUCUGACAAGACUCAAUGAAAAAAAGCAAAUUCUCAGCAUAAACACAUUGUUUGUAUAAACAGUCUGGGUACAGCGAACACUCACCAAUUAAGGAAUGUUAAUAACCCUCCCUAAAUCUAAGUUCCCAGACACCAACUAAGGGUCAAGUUUAAAAGCAGGCCUUUCUAAGGAUAGCAAUCUAGGCUUGCUGUGUUAACUCUUUU